GGACCUGGAGCCUGGCGCCGAGGGGCGCGCGGUGUCUGACUGGAGGCGGCCGUGCGACAGAGGGCGCGCGCGGGGAGCGCGGGUGAACCUUCGGGACCCGGGCACGGAGACAGCCAGGGUAUCACCUUCCCGUUGGGGCACAGAAGAGCAGAUGAGAGGUAAGACAUUCAACUGAGUUACCACAAUAAACCCACACAAUAAAAUAACGAUCUCAG
rnacentral:lncRNA from 1 species